UUUUAGCCAUUGCGAGUCGAAUGUAGCAAUACAUGGCGAACUGCUCAGUAACACGUGGACAACCUGCCCUUAGGACGGGGAUAAACCCGGGAAACUGGGUAUAAUACCCGAUAGGUCUCGAUUGCUGGAAUGCAUCGAGAUUUAAAGCUCCGGCGCCUAAGGAUGGGUCUGCGGCCUAUCAGGUAGUAGUGGGUGUAGCGUACCUACUAGCCUACGACGGGUACGGGUUGUGAGAGCAAGAGCCCGGAGAUGGAUUCUGAGACACGAAUCCAGGCCCUACGGGGUGCAGCAGGCGCGAAAACUUUACAAUGCUGGCAACAGCGAUAAGGGAACCUCGAGUGCCAGGUUACAAAUCUGGCUGUCGAGAUGCCUAAAAAGCAUUUCAUAGCAAGGGCCGGGCAAGACCGGUGCCAGCCGCCGCGGUAACACCGGCGGCUCGAGUGGUAACCGUUAUUAUUGGGUCUAAAGGGUCUGUAGCCGGCCGGAUAAGUCUCUUGAGAAAUCUGGCAGCUUAACUGUCAGGCUUUCAGGAGAUACUGUCUGGCUCGAGGCCGGGAGGGGUGAGAGGUACUUCAGGGGUAGGGGUGAAAUCUUGUAAUCCUUGAAGGACCACCAGUGGCGAAGGCGUCUCACCAGAACGGACCUGACGGCAAGGGACGAAAGCUAGGGGCACGAACCGGAUUAGAUACCCGGGUAGUCCUAGCCGUAAACGAUACUCGCUAGGUGUCGGCCACGGUGCGACCGUUGUCGGUGCCGUAGGGAAGCCGUGAAGCGAGCCACCUGGGAAGUACGGCCGCAAGGCUGAAACUUAAAGGAAUUGGCGGGGGAGCACCACAACGGGUGGAGCUUGCGGUUUAAUUGGAUUCAACGCCGGAAAUCUUACCGGGACCGACAGCAAUAUGAAGGCCAGGCUGAAGACUUUGCCGGAUUAGCUGAGAGGUGGUGCAUGGCCGUCGUCAGUCGUACUGANCNCGUNNNNU
rnacentral:rRNA from 1 species